GCUUGUCUCAAAGAUUAAGCCAUGCAUGUCUAAGUAUAAACAAAUCUAUACGUGAAACUGCGAAUGGCUCAUUAUAUCAGUUAUAGUUUAUUUGAUGGUUCAUACUACUUGGAUAACCGUAGUAAUUCUAGAGCUAAUACAUGCGUCAAAACCCGACUCCUGGGAGGGAUGUAUUUAUUAGAUACAAAACCAAUGCGGGUUCUGCUCGCCAUUGUGUUGAAUCAUAGUAACUUAUCGAACGCCAUAGCCUUGUGCUGGGCGUAGAUCAUUCAAAUUUCUGCCCUAUCAGCUUUCGACGGUAGUGUAGUGGACUACCGUGGCGUUAACGGGUAACGGGGAAUUAGGGUUCGAUUCCGGAGAGGGAGCCUGAGAAACGGCUACCACAUCCAAGGAAGGCAGCAGG
rnacentral:rRNA from 1 species